AGUUGGGGCUGCACAACACAGCUCUGAGAACUUCUUACCCUGUGAGUCCAGCCUUUGCCCUCUCUGGGCUGUUUCUUCAUCUGCAAAAUGGAGCUCAUGAACCCAGAGUGAGAUGAGACCCCGUCCACGCAGACGGUAAUCCUCCACAGCCCGGAGCCGUCUGCUGCAGGCGGGAGCGCUCUUACCCCGCUACCCCGGGAGGAGACACGACGCCCCCGUCCUGGCUGCCCCUCCCCUGGCGGCAGCGCCAGUCUCAGGCUGGGUGGUCUCGGUGGCUUCCGCAUGGACCUGCACAAAAGAUGAUAAGCAUCGUGUGCUCUUGCUGGAAAACAUCGCUGCCACCCAACGACUCUAACCGCACUGCUUUGUAAGGCCCAGAGGAGCCUGUACCUGGCUUCCCUGGGCUGUGAAUAAAUCCGCAGCUCCCAGCUCAACGAGGGCAUCCAGAG
ensembl:lncRNA